GAGCUUUCUUUAAGGGACGACAUGAAGAAGGAAUGCCACUGUGACAAACUCCACAGUGCAGCAACAGAACAUAAAAUAUCAACAGUGUUUUCCUGAUUAACUGCCAAACUUCCAUCGCUUCUGUGGGCGGCAGGUAGGUUGCCUGGACAGGUAUAAAUCUAGCAUUUUCUUGGUGCAUGCUUUGAGUUUUUAUUGAUACAAAAUGCUUGGGGGUACACAAGUUGGUACUAGUUGGAACCCCUCAAAUACCAUUCACUUUUUUUUUCUUUCUCUUCUUUUUUCUUGACAAGGAAGGACAGCCUUAAAAACAGAAGGCUACCAUUCAUUAAUAAGAUUUUUUUUUAAAAAAAGAACCCAUAAUGGAUAGAGUAUUGUGUUAAGAGUGCAAUGAAAGUAAGUCAGGGGAGACCUUUUCUUCCAUUCAAUGCAUUUCUGUGAAUACCAUAAAACCACUAGAAAUAAUGAUGUCACC
rnacentral:lncRNA from 1 species